rnacentral:misc_RNA from 1 species
AAUGAUGAUUGCAAUGCGUGUUUCGACACUCUCUUGAUUUUUAAGGUGUGUAACAUUGUCAUCACUUCUAGCUGGAAUUGCUGGCACGUCUGAUUGUCCUCAUGACAUGAUACUCUUCUGAACAUGAUAUCUGCUGCCUGCCGUAUUCAAGUGAGAAGAAUUCACUAGGAUAUUCACUUCUGCCGUAUUCACUUCUAGCAGGAUAUUCACUGCUAGCCAUGACAUUCAACGCCAAAUCUCUCAAACAUUUGAUGUCAGAUGUAGUCAAAUCUGAAAUGGCCAACACCAUCUUGCCGAAUCCAUCCAAGGCAUGUGAUGAGAACUCGGUUUUUGAUCUUCAACAAGUGUUGGAAAAGUUUACUUUCAGUACCAUAGGCAAAGUUGCAUUUGUAGUAGACCCUCAAUCCAUGUCAAAUUUGCCUUUUGUUGAAGAUUUUGAUGAUGCUGUAGAGGUCUGCUUUUCAAGAUUCUCGUCUCCAUUUCCAUCAGUCCGAAAGCUCAAGAGAUUGUUCAAUAUUUUAUCAGAGAAGCGAUUCAAAGAAGCCAUUGAAAAGAUCAAUGAGUUUGCUUUGGAAGCAAGUAGAACAGAAUAGCAGUGAAAGGGUAGGCAAAAAUCAAGAUUUGUUAUCAAUAUUCUUGUUCUUGAGUUCAGGUGUGGAAUUUCAAAAUAAAUAACACAAGAUCAAGUUCUUGAAAGACAUAGUCAUAAGCUUUGUACUUUCUGGCAAGGACACAACUUCGUGGUUUCUCUUGUUAAUCCAGGCAACCCUCGUUGCGCACACUUUAUUUACAAAGAGCAAGGCAUUCAAGAUGUUUCAACUUUGUAUAGAACACCAUAUCGGUAACAUACUAAUGAUGAGCAUUAAUCCUUUCAUAUCCUGUCUUAUGGCUAUUCU